GUGCUCACUUCGGCAGCACAUAUACUAAAAUUGAAACAGUACAGAGAAGAUUAGCACGGUCCCUGCGCAAGGACGCGGCACGCAAAUUCGUGAAGAACCUUUUGAAU